rnacentral:rRNA from 1 species
AACAAACGCUGGCGGCGUGCCUAACACAUGCAAGUCGUACUAGAAAGGGUUCUUCGGAACCUGAGUAGAGUGGCGCACGGGUGAGUAACGCGUGGAUAAUCUGCCCUUCAGUUGGGAAUAACUCAUCGAAAGGUGGGCUAAUACCGAAUAAUGCUGUGAGACUUUGGUCGAUCAGCCAAAGAGAGCCUCUGCUUGCAUGCCCUGCUGAAGGAUGAGUCCGCGUACCAUUAGCUUGUUGGCAGGGUAAUGGCCUACCAAGGCGACGAUGGUUAGCUGGUCUGAGAGGAUGAUCAGCCA